AACCCUAGGCAGGGGAUCACUUGGCUCAUGGAUCGAUGAAGACCGCAGCUAAAUGCGCGUCACAAUGUGAACUGCAGGACACAUGAACACCGAUAAGUUGAACGCAUAUUGCACGUCGUGCGACAUAGCAUGGCGUACACAUUUUUGAGCGCCCAA
rnacentral:rRNA from 1 species